rnacentral:rRNA from 1 species
AACGUAGGAGACAAACGUUAUCCGGAGUUACUGGGCGUAAAGGGCGUGUAGGUGGUUUCGUAAGUCUGGCGUGAAAUUUUUCGGCUUAACCGGGAAAGGUCGUCGGAUACUGCGGAGCUAGAGGACGGUAGAGGCGUGUGGAAUUCCGGGUGUAGUGGUGAAAUGCGUAGAGAUCAGGAAGAACACCCGUGGCGAAGGCGGCCCACUGGGCCGGUGCUGACGCUGAGGCGCGAAGGCGUGGGGAGCGAACGGG